rnacentral:rRNA from 1 species
AUGGCCGGAUCAAGGAGCAACGCUGCUUCGACAUCCUCAUCCUCUUCGUCAUCCACAUCCUCUAAGAAGGGCGGGAGGUCUCAGUUCGAGUGGAGGCUUGGUGACUUCUUCAAGCACAUGAUCGAGUCAGACACCUCCUUUGCCUACGGGGACAGUUUCAAAGCCAUGAACCGGGUUGUUCAGCAGUUCGGCCUGAAGCGCACCCUCGAGCACAUCCGGCUGACGGGGACUUUGCCGUUUUGA